AGAUGGCAGAAGGAUGGCGGUGUGGCAGAGGGACAGAUCGGAAAGCAGAGAACUGUAGGUACAGUUAUGGAAAAGGUUUUCAUACUCAGUGGUGCAGCUCACCAAAAUAGCUUCCACUACUUCCCACUGGCAAAGACCUUCACCAGCAACAGGAGGGUGGGCAGUUCCUCAGGAAGAGCCCCAGCUGCCUCCUGUCUGUGACUACACAGCUGUGGGUGCCUGAAGGUGGCUCUUUCCUGCUGCCUGAUAGUCCCAAAAGGCAAGUGGGACCAUCCACAGGGAGUUGCUCCUCUGCACACUGUACUGGAGCAGCUAAAUCCUUCAGCCUUUGUGGCGUGACCCAAGGAAAACCUCCCUGCAGUUUUCAUACUGUUGGAAAUAUCCAAAUCAUUUUGUCAGACCCUCUGAUCAGGAAGAAGAAAAGGUGAAGGCCUCAGACAACUUCAGUCAUCUGGAAGAAGCCUUCUGUUUGCAAGCCCUGAUGCUCAUGGUAGACUUUAACCACUGAAAUAUCUGCUGGAGUGUCACAGGUGAUCUAGAAGGUGCCUGAAGUGCAGAUGAUAACUUCCUAAGAUCAAGUAGCUAGUGAGGGAAAAUUCCCUUAUAGAUCUGAUUCCUAUCAACAAGAAAGAACUGGUUGAGAAUGUGAGAGCUGAGUGCAUCCUUGGCUGCAGUGACUAUGAGAUAGUGGAGUUCAGCAUCCUAAAAGUAGCAGGAUCACUAACCUGGACUCAGGAAAUAUGACUUUGCCAUCUUAAGGAAUCUGCUUGGAAGAAUCCUGUGGGAUGCAGUCCUGGAGUGGAAAGCGAUCCAGGAAAAGGAUCCAGAGACUAAUUUUCAAGGAUCAGCUCCUCCAAGCUCAAGAGCAGUAUGCCCUGUCAAGCAGAGAAUCAUGCAAAGACAACACGGUACUUGAACAAAGCACUCCUGGCAAGCCCAUUCUGAUUUCCCCAUGAAUUCUGAAAUUCUGAUUUCCCCACGAAGACUAGAGAAAUAGGCAUACUAGAGAGAGUCCAGCAAAGUGUCACAAGGAUGAUUAAGUGUUCAGAGCAUCUAUUAUAUAAGCCAAGGCUGAGAGAGAUGGAACUGUGUAGUCUGGAGAGGAAAAAUCCCAGGACAAUCUUACUAAUGUGUAUAAAUACCUGAUAGGGAAAAAAUAAAGAUGAUGGAAC
rnacentral:lncRNA from 7 species